UGGGGAAUAUUGGACAAUGGGCGAAAGCCUGAUCCAGCCAUGCCGCGUGUGUGAAGAAGGUCUUCGGAUUGUAAAGCACUUUAAGUUGGGAGGAAGGGCAGUAAGUUAAUACCUUGCUGUUUUGACGUUACCGACAGAAUAAGCACCGGCUAACUCUUUGUCAG
rnacentral:rRNA from 1 species